rnacentral:rRNA from 1 species
AGAGAUGCACUGGGUGUAAAGCGUGCGCAGGCGGUUUUGUAAGACAGAGGUGAAAUCCCCGGGCUCAACCUGGGAACUGCCUUUGUGACUGCAAGGCUGGAGUGCGGCAGAGGGGGAUGGAAUUCCGCGUGUAGCAGUGAAAUGCGUAGAUAUGCGGAGGAACACCGAUGGCGAAGGCAAUCCCCUGGGCCUGCACUGACGCUCAUGCACGAAAGCGUCGGGAGCAAACA